rnacentral:rRNA from 1 species
CCCUCCCCCCCCCCACAAAGGCACAACGAACCCCGGCGCGAACUGCGCCAAGGAACCAAACAAAGAUGUGCGCCCCCUCCGCCUGGAAACAGAGUCGAAGGGGGUCGCGUCGUCGUCCAUAUUACAUAUGAAACGACUCUCGGCAACGGAUAUCUCGGCUCUCGCAUCGAUGAAGAACGUAGCGAAAUGCGAUACUUGGUGUGAAUUGCAGAAUCCCGUGAACCAUCGAGUUUUUGAACGCAAGUUGCGCCCGAAGCCGUCAGGCCGAGGGCACGCCUGCCUGGGUGUCACGCAACGUCGCCAACAAUCCCCUCACCCACCCUGCGAAGGGAAUGGCGGGGGGUGGCGGAUAUUGGCCUCCCGUGCGCACCCGCUCGCGGUUGGCCCAAAGAACAGCCCCUUGGCGAUGGCAGCCACGGCACGCGGUGGUUGGAAGCACUGGCUCCGUGAACCGCCGUGGGCGAGCCUCGUCGACGUGGAGCAAAAGACCCCGACGCAAGCGUCCCAACAAAGCGACCCCA